UUUCUGCCGUUCGGCGCGCGUGACGGCCACGUUUCGCCAUUUUCUGGUCUUGCACGGUGGGGAGGGGGCUUCCGGGGGUGUCUCUUCGGCUGGGUGGUACCGGGCCGGUGCGUGUUUUCACGCGCCGCCGGUAUUGGCGAAAUCCGCCUUCCUUCUGCCGGCUCUGGGAUAGGGAUUGGACAAUUUUUGCUCCAGCAACUCAGUGGUAUCAAUGGUGUUUCUAUCAAUUUUUGCUCAAGUUCUUCACUGGCAACGUGCAAGUUCUCCAAUGAUGUGAUUUAAACAAGAUCAAGAAGCCAAGAGAUAUAGUUGGGACAAACAAUUUUUUUGAUUGGUUUAGUUGCUACCAGUUUCCACAUUUUAGAGUAAUGCUGAUAGCUUGAUAUUUUUGGUGUAACUGAUAGAUUUAGUUGUUGUUGAUUAGUUUGGUUGUUUGCUGGUUUUGUCCAGUUGGUUGUUGGUUUUUGUUUCGGUUUUGAGCUAGAUUGCUCAUUAGUUUUGUUGGUUUGAACAAUUUUGUACAAUUGCUUUGAUUUCAAUAUACAAUGUUGCCUUAUUUCAA